rnacentral:tRNA from 1 species
GGCGGGAGUAACUCAGUUGGCAGAGUCAUAGCCUUCCAAGCUAUUGGUCGCGGGUUCGAGUCCCGUCUCCCUCUCCA